rnacentral:lncRNA from 1 species
CAGUUAUUGUCAAAACUGCUAUCAGAGGUAGCAUUGUAAUUUCUUUCUGGAAAGCUUCCACCAGAGGAACCCAGUUUAAAACAACUAGAAAUAGGAAAUACAAAUUGGCAACUCUGUGAAAUUGUUCAAAUAAAUUGCGUGGUAUAAAAGUCAGUAAAGUGUAUUUAGUAGUCCGUAUUUUGUUGUUCAUAUACAGUUUUGAUACCUUUUCAUACUCUU